ACUCAAAUGAAUAGACGGGGGCCCGCACAAGCAGCGGAGCAUGUGGUUUAAUUCGAAGCAACGCGAAGAACCUUACCGGGGCUUGACAUCCCUCUGGAGCGUAUAGAGAUAUACGCGACUUAUGUCGUAAGAUAUAAGGCAGGGGAGACAGGUGGUGCAUGGUUGUCGUCAGCUCGUGUCGUGAGAUGUUGGGUUAAGUCCCGCAACGAGCGCAACCCUUAUCUUUAGUUGCCAACACGUUAAGGUGGGGACUCUAAAGAGACUGCCGGGGAUAACUCGGAGGAAGGUGGGGACGACGUCAAAUCAUCAUGCCCCUUAUGUCCCGGGCUACACACGUGCUACAAUGGCCGGAAACAGAGGGUAGCGAAGCGGUAACGCGGAGCCAAUCCUACAAAGCCGGUCCCAGUUCGGAUUGUGGGCUGCAACUCGCCCACAUGAAGUCGGAGUUGCUAGUAAUCGCGAAUCAGCAUGUCGCGGUGAAUGCGUUCCCGGGCCUUGUACACACCGCCCGU
rnacentral:rRNA from 1 species